rnacentral:rRNA from 1 species
UCCGUCAUACAUAAAAUAUAUUGUAGCCCAUCUCCCCCUUUCCUAUAAACUGCACCUUGACCUGCCUUAUAUUCUAAUAAAAAUUAUAGAAAAUUACCUAUUUUAAAAAAUCCUCUGAACAACGGCGAUAUACAAACUGCUUAACAAAAAAAAGAACCCAACAACGUGGACCAUCGAUUACAGGACAAGCUCCUCUGAGAGGAUUAAGAUACCGCCAAAUCCUCUGAGUUU